UAGAUGCGAGAGUAGAGCAUAUCAAUAAGCGGAGGAAAAGAAACUAACUAGGAUUCCCUCAGUAACGGCGAGUGAAGCGGGAAGAGCUCAAAUUUGAAAUCUUCAAGGUUCUACCUUGACGAAUUGUAGUUUAAAGAAGUGUUUUCUGUUGGAGUUUUGGUAAAAGUUCUUUGGAAUAGGACAUCAUAGAGGGUGAGAAUCCCGUAUUUGACCAUUAUUUCCAACUUUGUGAUAGCACUUUCAAAGAGUCGGGAUUGUUUGGGAAUGCAGUCCAAAAUGGGUGGUAAAUUUCAUCUAAAGCUAAAUAUUGGCGAGAGACCGAUAGCGAACAAGUACCGUGAGGGAAAGAUGAAAAGAACUUUGAAAAGAGAGUUAAACAGUACGUGAAAUUGUCAAAAGGGAAGCGUUUGACACCAGUGUUGUUUUUCCGAAAAUCAAUUAAGAAUGGAUGGGAUUUUGUGUUGUAUUGACUUUAUCAGCUUUCUGCACUUUUUUCCUAUCUUUUUUAAUGCACUUUUCGGUUUAACAAGUCAACAUCAAGUUUCUUUUGUUGUAAAAGGGUAUGAGGAAGGUGGCUUUCAUUUUCGGAGAAAGUGUUUAUAGCCUUGUACCUCUGCAAUCGGAGAGAUUGAGGUCUGCAGCGUAGAUCCUUCGGGGUUGGAUACAUUUGUGCUAAGUUAUAGCUUUUCAUAGACAACUUGUUGAUUAUGUUAAGUCUUGUAGCUUACUCGCUUAUGCUAUUUUACCUACGCUUAGGAUGUUGACGAGACUGUCGAUCUC
rnacentral:rRNA from 1 species